rnacentral:lncRNA from 1 species
CUCCUGUGUCACUUGUGAUGGCCCCUCCCCUAUAAUAGUGGACGUCUCCUGAACAUGUAUAUCAGGAAUAACAAGUACUGUUGGAGCAUCUACGAGCUGAGUAACCCCCUCAACCCCCUUAUAUGGAUCCAAUGAUGGACCUAGGACAAAAAUCAGACCACUCAGAUGAAGAAUCAUGAUGCCAACUCGGACUUGGUGCUGUCAUCUGGGGCAUGUAGGAAGAUGAAGGCCCUGACAUCUA